UAGCUCAGUUGGUAGAGCGCAACCUUGCCAAGGUUGAGGUCAUCGGUUCGAACCCGAU
rnacentral:tRNA from 1 species